rnacentral:rRNA from 1 species
GGACGAACGCUGGCGGCGUGCUUAACACAUGCAAGUCGAACGGAAAGGCCCUGCUUUUGUGGGGUGCUCGAGUGGCGAACGGGUGAGUAACACGUGAGUAACCUGCCCUUGACUUUGGGAUAACUUCAGGAAACUGGGGCUAAUACCGGAUAGGAGCUCCUGCUGCCUGGUGGGGGUUGGAAAGUUUCGGCGGUUGGGGAUGGACUCGCGGCUUAUCAGCUUGUUGGUGGGGUAGUGGCUUACCAAGGCUUUGACGGGUAGCCGGCCUGAGAGGGUGACCGGACACAUUGGGACUGAGAUACGGCCCAGACUCCUACGGGAGGCAGCAGUGGGGAAUAUUGCACAAUGGGCGGAAGCCUGAUGCAGCAACGCCGCGUGCGGGAUGACGGCCUUCGGGUUGUAAACCGCUUUCGCCUGUGACGAAGCGUGAGUGACGGUAAUGGGUAAAGAAGCACCGGCUAACUACGUG